CCUACGGGAGGCAGCAGUGGGGAAUUUUGGACAAUGGGCGAAAGCCUGAUCCAGCCAUGCCGCGUGAGUGAAGAAGGCCUUCGGGUUGUAAAGCUCUUUCAGCCGGAAAGAAAUCGCGCAGGCUAAUACUCUGCGUGGAUGACGGUACCGGAAGAAGAAGCACCGGCUAACUACGUGCCAGCAGCCGCGGUAAUACGUAGGGUGCGAGCGUUAAUCGGAAUUACUGGGCGUAAAGCGUGCGCAGGCGGUUAUAUAAGACAGAUGUGAAAUCCCCGGGCUCAACCUGGGAACUGCGUUUGUGACUGUAUGACUAGAGUACGGCAGAGGGAGGUGGAAUUCCGCGUGUAGCAGUGAAAUGCGUAGAUAUGCGGAGGAACACCGAUGGCGAAGGCAGCCUCCUGGGCCAGUACUGACGCUCAUGCACGAAAGCGUGGGGAGCAAACAGGAUUAGAUACCCUGGUAGUCCACGCCCUAAACGAUGUCAACUAGUUGUUCGGUGAGGAGACUCAUUGAGUAACGCAGCUAACGCGUGAAGUUGACCGCCUGGGGAGUACGGCCGNAAGGUUAAACUUAAAGGAUUGACGG
rnacentral:rRNA from 1 species